UACGAAGGGUGCAAGCGUUACUCGGAAUUACUGGGCGUAAAGCGUGCGUAGGCGGUUCGUUAAGUCGGAUGUGAAAGCCCUCGGCUCAACUGAGGAAGUGCACCCGAAACUGGCGAGCUUGAGUACGAAAGAGGAUCGCGGAAUUCCCGGUGUAGAGGUGAAAUUCGUAGAUAUCGGGAGGAACACCGGUGGCGAAGGCGGCGAUCUGGGUCGAUACUGACGCUGAGGUGCGAAAGCGUGGGGAGCAAACAGG
rnacentral:rRNA from 1 species